rnacentral:rRNA from 1 species
AUUGAACGCUGGCGGCAGGCCUAACACAUGCAAGUCGAGCGGAUGAAGGGAGCUUGCUCCUGGAUUCAGCGGCGGACGGGUGAGUAAUGCCUAGGAAUCUGCCUGGUAGUGGGGGAUAACGUCCGGAAACGGGCGCUAAUACCGCACACGUCCUGAGGGAGAAAGUGGGGGAUCUUCGGACCUCACGCUAUCAGAUGAGCCUAGGUCGGAUUAGCUAGUUGGUGGGGUAAAGGCCUACCAAGCCGACGAUCCGUAACUGGUCUGAGAGGAUGAUCAGUCACACUGGAACUGAGACACGGUCCAGACUCCUACGGGAGGCAGCAGUGGGGAAUAUUGGACAAUGGGCGAAAGCCUGAUCCAGCCAUGCCGCGUGUGUGAAGAAGGUCUUCGGAUUGUAAAGCACGUUAAGUUGGGAGGAAGGGCAGUAAGUUAAUACCUUGCUGUUUUGACGUUACCAACAGAAUAAGCACCGGCUAACUUCGUG